GUCCAGCUGACCAGUCCCAAAUAGGACGAAACGCGCAUCCUGGAU
rnacentral:hammerhead_ribozyme from 1 species